rnacentral:rRNA from 1 species
GAUGAACGCUGGCGGCGUGCCUAAUACAUGCAAGUCGAGCGAACAGAUAAGGAGCUUGCUCCUUUGACGUUAGCGGCGGACGGGUGAGUAACACGUGGGUAACCUACCUAUAAGACUGGGAUAACUUCGGGAAACCGGAGCUAAUACCGGAUAAUAUUUCGAACCGCAUGGUUCGAUAGUGAAAGAUGGUUUUGCUAUCACUUAUAGAUGGACCCGCGCCGUAUUAGCUAGUUGGUAAGGUAACGGCUUACCAAGGCGACGAUACGUAGCCGACCUGAGAGGGUGAUCGGCCACACUGGAACUGAGACACGGUUCAGACUCCUACGGGAGGCAGCAGUAGGGAAUCUUCCGCAAUGGGCGAAAGCCUGACGGAGCAACGCCGCGUGAGUGAUGAAGGUCUUCGGAUCGUAAAACUCUGUUAUUAGGGAAGAACAUACGUGUAAGUAACUGUGCACGUCUUGACGGUACCUAAUCAGAAAGCCACGGCUAACUACGUG